UAGGGAAUAUUGCAAAAUGGGCGAAAGCCCGAUGCAGCAACGCCGCGUGGGCGAUGAAGGCCUUCGGGUCGUAAAGCCCUUUUUGAGGGGAUGAGGAAGGACAGUACCCUCAGAAUAAGCCUCGGCUAACUACGUGCCAGCAGCCGCGGUAAAACGUAGGAGGCGAGCGUUAUCCGGAUUUACUGGGCGUAAAGCGCGUGCAGGCGGAUUGGAGAGUUGGAUGUGAAAGCUCCCGGCUUAACUGGGAGAGGUCGUUCAAUACUUCCAGGCUUGAGUGCAGUAGAGGGUAGUGGAAUUCCGGGUGUAGUGGUGAAAUGCGUAGAUAUCCGGAGGAACACCAGUGGCGAAAGCGGCUUCCUGGACUGUAACUGACGCUCAGACGCGAAAGCUAGGGUAGCAAACG
rnacentral:rRNA from 1 species